AUACGUAGGGGGCGAGCGUUGUCCGGAAUGAUUGGGCGUAAAGGGCGCGUAGGCGGCCCGGUAAGUCUGGAGUGAAAGUCCUGUUUUUGAGAUGGGAAUUGCUUUGGAGACUGUCGGGCUUGAGUGCAGGAGAGGUAAGUGGAAUUCCCAGUGUAGCGGUGAACUGCGUAGAGAUUGGGAGGAACACCAGUGGCGAAGGCGACUUACUGGACUGUAACUGACGCUGAGGCGCGAACGUGUGGGGAGCAAACAGGAUUAGAUACCCUGGUAGUUCACACUGUAAACGAUGAAUGCUAGGUGUAGGGGGUAUCGACCCCUUCUGUGCCGCAGUCAACACAAUAAGCAUUCCGCCUGGGGAGUACGGCCGCAAGGUUGAAACUCAAAGGAAUUGACGGGG
rnacentral:rRNA from 1 species